CAGUAGCCGCGGUAAUACGUAGGUGGCAAGCGUUGUCCGGAAUUACUGGGCGUAAAGGGCUCGCAGGCGGUUUCUUAAGUCUGAUGUGAAAGCCCCCGGCUCAACCGGGGAGGGUCAUUGGAAACUGGGAAACUUGAGUGCAGAAGAGGAGAGUGGAAUUCCACGUGUAGAGGUGAAAUGCGUAGAGAUGUGGAGGAACACCAGUGGCGAAGGCGACUCUCUGGUCUGUAACUGACGCUGAGGAGCGAAAGCGUGGGGAGCGAACAGGAUUAGAUACCCGUGUAGUCCCUGUCUCUUAUAC
rnacentral:rRNA from 1 species